UGGCGGCGUGCCUAAUACAUGCAAGUAGAACGCUGAAGAGAGGAGCUUGCUCUUCUUGGAUGAGUUGCGAACGGGUGAGUAACGCGUAGGUAACCUGCCUUGUAGCGGGGGAUAACUAUUGGAAACGAUAGCUAAUACCGCAUAACAAUGGAUGACACAUGUCAUUUAUUUGAAAGGGGCAAUUGCUCCACUACAAGAUGGACCUGCGUUGUAUUAGCUAGUAGGUGAGGUAACGGCUCACCUAGGCGACGAUACAUAGCCGACCUGAGAGGGUGAUCGGCCACACUGGGACUGAGACACGGCCCAGACUCCUACGGGAGGCAGCAGUAGGGAAUCUUCGGCAAUGGGGGCAACCCUGACCGAGCAACGCCGCGUGAGUGAAGAAGGUUUUCGGAUCGUAAAGCUCUGUUGUAAGUCAAGAACGAGUGUGAGAGUGGAAAGUUCACCCUGUGACGGUAGCUUACCAGAAAGGGACGGCUAACUACGUGCCAGCAGCCGCGGUAAUACGUAGGUCCCGAGCGUUGUCCGGAUUUAUUGGGCGUAAAGCGAGCGCAGGCGGUUUGAUAAGUCUGAAGUUAAAGGCUGUGGCUCAACCAUAGUUCGCUUUGGAAACUGUCAAACUUGAGUGCAGAAGGGGAGAGUGGAAUUCCAUGUGUAGCGGUGAAAUGCGUAGAUAUAUGGAGGAACACCGGUGGCGAAAGCGGCUCUCUGGUCUGUAACUGACGCUGAGGCUCGAAAGCGUGGGGAGCGAACAGGAUUAGAUACCCUGGUAGUCCACGCCGUAAACGAUGAGUGCUAGGUGUUGGAUCCUUUCCGGGAUUCAGUGCCGCAGCUAACGCAUUAAGCACUCCGCCUGGGGAGUACGACCGCAAGGUUGAAACUCAAAGGAAUUGACGGGGGCCCGCACAAGCGGUGGAGCAUGUGGUUUAAUUCGAAGCAACGCGAAGAACCUUACCAGGUCUUGACAUCCCGAUGCUAUUUCUAGAGAUAGAAAGUUACUUCGGUACAUCGGUGACAGGUGGUGCAUGGUUGUCGUCAGCUCGUGUCGUGAGAUGUUGGGUUAAGUCCCGCAACGAGCGCAACCCCUAUUGUUAGUUGCCAUCAUUCAGUUGGGCACUCUAGCGAGACUGCCGGUAAUAAACCGGAGGAAGGUGGGGAUGACGUCAAAUCAUCAUGCCCCUUAUGACCUGGGCUACACACGUGCUACAAUGGUUGGUACAACGAGUUGCGAGUCGGUGACGGCAAGCUAAUCUCUUAAAGCCAAUCUCAGUUCGGAUUGUAGGCUGCAACUCGCCUACAUGAAGUCGGAAUCGCUAGUAAUCGCGGAUCAGCACGCCGCGGUGAAUACGUUCCCGGGCCUUGUACACACCGCCCGUCACACCACGAGAGUUUGUAACACCCGAAGUCGGUGAGGUAACCUUUUGGAGCCAGCCGCCUAAGGUGGGAUAGAUGAUUGGGGUG
rnacentral:rRNA from 1 species